UAUUCUGAAGUUAGGAUUCUCGAAAACGACACCUAAGUUUUCUGGAAAGGAAUGCCACAGAGGGUGAUAGCCCCGUACGGUGUUGACUCGAUACAGAGUCCUAACAUGGAGUCGAGUUGUUUGGGAAUGCAGCUCAAAUGGGUGGUAUGCUCCAUCUAAGGCUAAAUAUUUGCGAGAGACCGAUAGCGAACAAGUACUGUGAAGGAAAGAUGAAAAGAACUUUGAAAAGAGAGUGAAAUAGUACGUGAAAUUGUUGAAAUGGAAGGGUAGGCCGCUAACCAUGUAGGACCGUGUUUGGGGGGAAGAUAAAUGCUGUAGAAUGUGGCUCCUCGGAGUGUUAUAGCUACAGUUCAUGUUCCCAUCCGAG
rnacentral:rRNA from 1 species